ensembl:lncRNA
GGAGGUCACCUCAGUGGCAGGUGCUCAAGUUGGCCUCUGGGCGGGAGUUCCUGGGCAGCCUCCCUGGGGACAGUGCAGGGGUGGGGCUCUUGACCCCCAAGGACCUGCGGUCUGGGUCGCCUUCCUGAGCUGUCUGUCCAGCAUGCCUCACUAACCCCAGCUGACCUCUGCCAGACAGUGUCCACCCAGGGCCUCACAGGAGUCCCACCAUGGUCCUGGGAGGCGAUACAACUACAGCCCCAUUUUUCAGAUGGGGAAACCGAGGCACAGAGAAGUUUAGGAAGUCACCUGGGCACAGCUGGCAGGGUAUGAACCAGGCGCCUGCCUGGCGCUGGCCUCCCUGCCCCUGCCACUGGGGCAGCGCCCCUGGCGGAGUAGAGGGAGUGUCCCUGGGCUCGAAGUUCGGAUGGGCUCAGCCAGGACUCACAAAGGGUGGUCCGGCUAUUCCCACCACCAGGUGCCCCCUAUCCAUCCAUCCACCUCUCCAAUCAGUCAGAGGCAUGCAUGGCCCGAACCUCACCCCCACCACAAAGGGGGUCCUCGGCCGUCUGGAAUUGGAGCUGAAGCCCUGGGGAAGGCGCCUGGGGCCUCCCUCGGCCAAGGGUCAGGAUGGAGGAAGUGUGGUGGGCAGGGGUGUUUGGAGGCAACACAGCCUCCGUUACAGAACCGUGGACCCUGAGCCUCCCUCUGGCGGGGCAGGGAAGGACAGGAGCCCAAGACCCCCGGCAUCCUGCCCCCAGGGCCCCAUCAGUUCCAGGAGGUCCCUAACUCAAGAGCACCCAUCCCUGCUGAGGAGCAUGGUGUGGGGAGCUGGGCGGGAGGGGCACCCCCAGGCCAAAGCAGACUCUAAUCUUGUGUGGGGGAGGGGCUCUGGGCCUUGGACGGGCUUGCCACCCAAGUUGGGGUGAAAUCAGACCCUUGAAGGCACAAGGUGAGGAAGAGGACGGGUGGGAGGCGGGAGGUGGAAGGUGAAGCCAGACCCCCCCACACACCCUGGGGCAUUGCUGAUAAGGCUCCCUCUGGGCUCAAAGACUGGCUGCAGGGGUACCGGGACUGCAGAGAUUCCUCCUGCAGAGGCUGGACUACCACGUGUCUGGACCGCUCUGGGGGCCCUGACCAGGGAGGCAGGCCUGGGUCUGGUCGCCACCUACUCCUGCAUCAGAAGCAAGCUGUGCAUGUCACCAAUGUGGGAGCCCCCCGGGUAGGACUGGAGCGGGGUGGUGCCCCAGGACCUGUCCAGUCCUCCACUAGAACUCGCAGCACCUCCGUGCUGAACUCAAGGUGCCCGUCGAGGGGAAGUGGGGACUGGAGAUUUACCCCUUCCAUCCUCCUGGCUGGACACCCGCAUGCAGUGAGCCACCUGCAGACUGGAACACUUCAGCCCUGCACUCAAGAGUCAGCAGGUGCGCAGUGACCGAAAGCAGAAACAACCCCGUGCCCAUCAACAGAUGAAGGACACCAAGAUUCAGUCCAUCCGCACGAGGAAGUGCUAUUCAACCCUAAAGAAGAAUGAAGGGCCGGCUCAGGCUGCCUCGUGGACGAACCUUGAAAACACGAUGCUGAGCAAAGGAAGCCAGACACCAUAUUGGUCAAUUCCAUUUAUAUGAAAUUCCAGAACAGGCCAAAGCAGAUGGUGAUGUGGCCGCAGCACACGGAGCAGCUGAGAGACAGGAGCGGAAACGUGGACCUGCUGGGAAACUGCGAGGUGCUGAGCAGAAGGGGCGGGAGCACCACACACUCACGCCUUCAGCGAUGGGGCCAACCGCAUGCCUGGAGCCUCUGGCAGGGAAGCCUGGUACCUCCCCCCAUUCCUCCCCUGCCCCCCGCAGCCCCCGUGGGGCCGGAACCAGCUCCCGGGAACUGUCUGGCUGACCAGAACUGUCACCCCCAUUUCAUUAUUUUAGGGUCUGGAAAUUACUAUUCAU